rnacentral:rRNA from 1 species
GACAGAGGGUGCAAGCGUUGUUCGGAAUUACUGGGCGUAAAGCGCGUGUAGGCGGCUCUGCAAGUCGGAUGUGAAAGCCCUGGGCUCAACCUAGGAAGUGCACUCGAAACUGCAGAGCUUGAGUCUCGGAGAGGAUCGCGGAAUUCUCGGUGUAGAGGUGAAAUUCGUAGAUAUCGAGAGGAACACCGGUGGCGAAGGCGGCGAUCUGGACGAUGACUGACGCUGAGACGCGAAAGCGUGGGGAGCAAACAGG